rnacentral:rRNA from 1 species
AGUGAACGCUGGCGGUAGGCCUAACACAUGCAAGUCGAACGGCAGCACAGUAAGAGCUUGCUCUUACGGGUGGCGAGUGGCGGACGGGUGAGGAAUACAUCGGAAUCUACCUUUUCGUGGGGGAUAACGUAGGGAAACUUACGCUAAUACCGCAUACGACCUACGGGUGAAAGCAGGGGAUCUUCGGACCUUGCGCGAUUGAAUGAGCCGAUGUCGGAUUAGCUAGUUGGCGGGGUAAAGGCCCACCAAGGCGACGAUCCGUAGCUGGUCUGAGAGGAUGAUCACCCACACUGGAACUGAGACACGGUCCAGACUCCUACGGGAGGCAGCAGUGGGGAAUAUUGGACAAUGGGCGGAAGCCUGAUCCAGCCAUACCGCGUGGGUGAAGAAGGCCUUCGGGUUGUAAAGCCCUUUUGUUGGGAAAGAAAAGCAGCAGGUUAAUACCCCGCUGUUCUGACGGUACCCAAAGAAUAAGCACCGGCUAACUUCGUG